GACGAACGCUGGCGGCGUGCUUAACACAUGCAAGUCGAACGGAAAGGCCCUGCUUUUGUGGGGUGCUCGAGUGGCGAACGGGUGAGUAACACGUGAGUAACCUGCCCUUGACUUUGGGAUAACUUCAGGAAACUGGGGCUAAUACCGGAUAGGAGCUCCUGCUGCAUGGUGGGGGUUGGAAAGUUUCGGCGGUUGGGGAUGGACUCGCGGCUUAUCAGCUUGUUGGUGGGGUAGUGGCUUACCAAGGCUUUGACGGGUAGCCGGCCUGAGAGGGUGACCGGCCACAUUGGGACUGAGAUACGGCCCAGACUCCUACGGGAGGCAGCAGUGGGGAAUAUUGCACAAUGGGCGGAAGCCUGAUGCAGCAACGCCGCGUGCGGGAUGACGGCCUUCGGGUUGUAAACCGCUUUCGCCUGUGACGAAGCGUGAGUGACGGUAAUGGGUAAAGAAGCACCGGCUAACUACGUGCCAGCAGCCGCGGUGAUACGUAGGGUGCGAGCGUUGUCCGGAUUUAUUGGGCGUAAAGGGCUCGUAGGUGGUUGAUCGCGUCGGAAGUGUAAUCUUGGGGCUUAACCCUGAGCGUGCUUUCGAUACGGGUUGACUUGAGGAAGGUAGGGGAGAAUGGAAUUCCUGGUGGAGCGGUGGAAUGCGCAGAUAUCAGGAGGAACACCAGUGGCGAAGGCGGUUCUCUGGGCCUUUCCUGACGCUGAGGAGCGAAAGCGUGGGGAGCGAACAGGCUUAGAUACCCUGGUAGUCCACGCUGUAAACGGUGGGUACUAGGUGUGGGGUCCAUUCCACGGGUUCCGUGCCGUAGCUAACGCUUUAAGUACCCCGCCUGGGGAGUACGGCCGCAAGGCUAAAACUCAAAGGAAUUGACGGGGCCCCGCACAAGCGGCGGAGCAUGCGGAUUAAUUCGAUGCAACGCGUAGAACCUUACCUGGGUUUGACAUGGAUCGGGAGUGCUCAGAGAUGGGUGUGCCUCUUUUGGGGUCGGUUCACAGGUGGUGCAUGGCUGUCGUCAGCUCGUGUCGUGAGAUGUUGGGUUAAGUCCCGCAACGAGCGCAACCCUUGUUCACUGUUGCCAGCACGUUAUGGUGGGGACUCAGUGGAGACCGCCGGGGUCAACUCGGAGGAAGGUGGGGAUGACGUCAAGUCAUCAUGCCCCUUAUGUCCAGGGCUUCACGCAUGCUACAAUGGCUGGUACAGAGAGUGGCGAGCCUGUGAGGGUGAGCGAAUCUCGGAAAGCCGGUCUCAGUUCGGAUUGGGGUCUGCAACUCGAUCUCAUGAAGUCGGAGUCGCUAGUAAUCGCAGAUCAGCAACGCUGCGGUGAAUACGUUCCCGGG
rnacentral:rRNA from 1 species